GAUGAAGAACGUAGCGAAAUGCGAUAAGUAAUGUGAAUUGCAGAAUUCAGUGAAUCAUCGAAUCUUUGAACGCUCAUUGCGCCCGCCAGUAUUCUGGCGGGCAUGCCUGUUCGAGCGUCAUUUCAACCCUCAGGCCCCCAGUGCCUGGUGUUGGGGAUCGGCAGCAGGGCGUCAAGCCCGCCGGCCCCGAAAUCUAGUGGCGGUCUCGCUGUAGUCCUCCUCUGCGUAGUAGCACAACCUCGCAGUUGGAACGCGGCGGUGGCCAUGCCGUUAAACACCCCACUUCUGAAAGUUGACCUCGGAUCAGGUAGGAAUACCCGCUGAACUUAAGCAUAUCAAUAAGCGGAGGA
rnacentral:misc_RNA from 1 species